AAUUUAAUAGUUAGUUUAAUAAAAACUAUAAAAUAAGUAUAGAUUGACCAACUUAUUUCUCUAAGAAUUCUGAAUUUCAUUCUCAUGGUGACACGUGGCUACAAAAUAAUGUUGUAAUGUUUAUCAAUUAGUAUAUAAGGGAUAUUUAAUAUUACAUGAUAUGUAAAUCAAUACAAAAUAAAUAAUAAUAUGUAUAAAUAAUUUGUAUACAAAAUUAAUAUUCAUAUUGCCCAAGCGCGGAUCUCAAAUGUUAGUUGAUCUUAUUAUUUCAUAAAUACACUUCUUCAUAUCGAAGUGAGAUGGUGAAUUAUAUAACAUCCGAAUGAUAUCAUUGAAGCCUAAUAAAUUAAACAGGUUUAAAAAAAAAAACAAAAUAUCAACAAACAUGACCCUACUCAUCAAUCUCAUAUUGACAGUCCAUGACUGUACGUUUGGAGACUUAUGACAUGAUGGUUGAACGAUCAAAAUUUGUAUUUAACAAUUAUUAUUAAAAAUAAAAAAUUUAUCCCGUGCAUGUGCGCAGAUAAUCACCUAGUAUAUAAAUAAAUCAAUGAAGCGAUGUUUAAAAUAAGAAACAUUAGUGAAAUUAAAUAAUCUCUAUAUUAACAGACACUCAAAUGUUUAUGUCGCCUAGACAAUGCAUUGAUAUUAGAAUGAGUGAAAACAAGGAUUUGAAGCUUUUGAAACUGUUAACGGUUUGUAUAAUGUGCAUUAAAAUUAUGAUAUUUGCAUAUUGUUUUCUCGUACUAUAUCUUAUUGAGCCUUGAUUAUCAACAUAAUAACUGAUUUACUACAUAUACAACCUUUGUCAUACUCGUUUCUAGUGCUUCAAAUGUGUCUUUGUACAUAGUCGUCAAAGACCUAAAGACAUAUUUAUGCGGUUCCUAGAAUAUUAUGUUUGAUUUGUGGUUUGGAAAUUCUGAUAAAAAGUUCGAUACAUAUAUAAGAACUAUCAUCAAUUCUAAAAUAAUAAAAUACUAGAAACCGCCAAACCCGUGCAACUAAUUACUCAUGAUCAGUCUAAAUAGGACGUCUAUAUACAUGUUCCAAACUAAACUAUUAUAUUAUAUCUGAAAUUAUUAUUGUUUUUUGUAAUCUUCUUUAGGAAUUAUUAUUAUUAAUUGGUUUUGCUAUAGACAAAUGGGACCGACCCACUAAUUUGCUGGAUAGUCUUUCUUUUACUCCACUCAGCGCAUACCUCUAGGCUCUAUCACACAGCACCUCAAUCAUCCCGUCUUCUUGUAAAUUUUCCUAUAUACCCAUGUAGACUUGUUUUUACAUUUAUGUGAACAAGGGCUGAUCAGGAAAGUACACAAGACUGAGAUGCUUAUCUUACAAUUAAAUUAAUAAACAAGGGUGGUGGGAAGGGUUUUUCAACAAGGGUUUAGGUGUGGGAUAUUCAAAAUCAAAGAGCAAUAAAUAAGAUUUGAUGCAAUGCCAGUAAGGAUGUUGUUUCUUUUCUAUAAUCACUUUUUUUUUUAUAUUUGUUUAUGGAUUGUUUCCUUGCCAAUCCAAAACCACGUUUCUAAACUGAUAAAGAAGUAAAUUGUGUGGAUAUGUUUUUAGUUUCUUAAUUAAUUAAAUGAUGAUGGUUGAAUUAUGUUUUUUUUUCUAAUUCUUAUAUUUGUAAAAACUAUGAGUUAUGAAUGUUGAUUUAUUUUAAAUGAAACAAAAUUUUCUAAAUAAACAAAAUGUAACUGAUGUAUUUUAACUACUUGCACAAAAAUAUUAUAGUAGUUGUAGCCACACUUAAACUGGUGUCUGGAAAUAAUUGUUUGAUUUCUUGUCCCUUUGUGCUAUCUUAAUGAUUGUCUGAUUAUAUUCAAUAUAGCUCCACAUAUAUAAGAGAAAAAAUGCAUAAUUUCCGAAAAGUUUGCCCCACACUGACCUGAAAGUUGUUCUGAAUUAAAUUAAAAUAUUCGAGUAAACCAACGACAUCGUUGUAGUUUCAUCUUAGAAACUUUGUUUAGGAU